CAAAACCGAUUUUAUUCUUCGGCUUCGUGAAAUGAACAGAUGUAAAGAAGAUUAAAGAAAUAAUAAAAGUGAACAGUAUUUUACAGCAAUUUUGUUUUUCUGGAUAGAUCAAUGACAGAAUCAUCUUACCACCCAUAUCUAUCCUUCACGUGCUACUAGUCUGAAGGGCAUAGGAUGGAGGUAUAAUUUUAAUAAAAUUUCCAACCCUCAAUAGCUGUGCCAAUCCUAGAGCUAUGCUAUAAUAGAUAUAGCCAGGAAAAGAAAUUGUUAGAAGUAUGAAUACAUUUUCCACAAUACACUAGACAAGAACCAUUGUCACUGCAGUUCAAAUGUAAAAGUGAAAAAGAUUUUCUGGCGCUGGUUUGGUAUACGUAUAGCAGCAAGGACUUCCCAAAUCUCAGUCUCUUCCUUCUUGCCAUAGUUAUACAUAAAGUAAUACUGGGAAGUAGCGCUUCAAACAAAAUCCUCAGUUUCAGAUCCAGAUUUAGCAGUAUGGAAAGUAAGAGAGAAC